GCUGCAGACGGCUGUGCCGAACAGAACAGCCUUCUGGGAGCCAGUUCAACCCCGCCUUCUCAUUUUCAGUGCCCACGGCUCUCUCUGACUGGCCACAGUCAAGGUGAUCUUCGUCCAGUACACACCUCCACAGUAUUUGCAGGACAUGGCAGCCUUUGUCUGGAGCUGGGAGUGCUAAGUGUGGCCAGGCGGUCUUACUCGAUGAGGAGAUGCUGGAUGUCAGCCACGCUGAGCUUCAACAGCCCCUUGGGCCUCUGUCCCUGGGGUGAGCACGGGUUCAGGGAGAAACCACGCACCAGUCAACUGCCAGUCCACAAGCCUCCAAAUGGCCAACCUCCACCUGGAGAAUCACUUUGCAUGUAGAAAAAGAGGCGACGAGGUGGAGAGAUGGAGACCAGGGAGAAGAAGGAUGGUGAGGAGGAGAGGAAACAUAACGGGUUGCCAUGACGAGGAAGCAGGGGAAUAAAAAACAAACAGAGGCGGGUGGCACCGGGGUUGUCAGCAGUGAGAGCAGUGACAGCUUCCCUGGCAUGCCUGGCACCCUCUGUUGCAGAAGUCUGGUGGACAGAGAAACUCAGACUCCUCUCUUCUCCUCCAUUUACAAUGUACAAUUUCAUGGUCCACUGGUUGUGACAGGAAGACCACCUGUGGCCAGGCAGACUGUGACCUAAAUGGA